rnacentral:rRNA from 1 species
CUAACAUGUAUGCGAGUAAACUGAGUUUUAAAACUCAUCAUGCAAAAAUGAAAGUAAAAUUAUGGUAGGAAUAGCUUCAUAAGGGGUUAUGCACUAUCAACCGACUUGGAUGGGGGCAACUCCUGAAAGGAUUGAGUAAGAGCAUUUAUGUUAGGACCCGAAAGAUGGUGAACUAUGCCUGAGUAGGGCAAAAGUCAGAGGAAACUCUGAUGGAGGCUCGAAGGGGUUCUGACGUGCAAAUCGAUCUUCAAACUUGGGGUAGGGGCGAAAGACUAAUCGAACCAUCUAGUAGCUGGUUCCCCUCCGAAGUUUCCCCUCAGGAUAGCUGGAACUUAAGAAGAAAUAGUUUUAUCAGGUAAAGCGAAUGAUUAGAGGCUUUUGGGGGGAAGAAAACUUUCCCUCGGACCCUAAUUCCUCAAACUUUAAAUAGGUAAGAUUUGAAGGAUACUUAGGUGAUCUUUCAAUCUCUUGAAUAUAAAGUUCUUAGUGGGCCAUUUUUGGUAAGCAGAACUGGCGAUGUGGGACUGAACCG